rnacentral:rRNA from 1 species
UUGGCGGACGGGUGAGUAACGCGUGGGGAACCUGCCCUGUACAGGGGGAGUAACACUUAGAAAUAGGUGCUAUACCGCAUAAGCGCACAGUAUCGCAUGAUACAGUGUGAAAAACUCCGGUGGUACAGGAUGGACCCGCGUCUGAUUAGCUGGUUGGCGGGGUAACGGCCCACCAAGGCGACGAUCAGUAGCCGGCCUGAGAGGGUGAACGGCCACAUUGGGACUGAGACACGGCCCAAACUCCUACGGAAGGCAGCAG